AUCGCUGGGAACUUCAGUCUGUUCAGAAAGCUGCAAGCAGGGACUUUCUUUCCAGACUGAAAAAUAAACCAUUAGUGAUGUUGAAAUGCUGAUCAUGAU